AUAAAAGAUUUUGUUCAGCAGCGACUCUCCUAAUUCUGACUUUCUCUCUGGGCUGCCUCCCCCGGCUCCUAUUUUGACGACUUCCCCGCAUUUGGAUACAAAGGUUUGUUUAGCAGCGAAACGGAAGAUGAAGACAAAGACUACGAUAGGGCCACUAUUUUCUUUUCAAUAUCGUUCUCAUUCUCAUCCGACUCUUCGGAGACGUUUCGGCGGUGGAGGGCAAAGCGAAUCAGGCGGCGGCGGAGGGCGGCGCGAAAGAGAAGAGGCGCGGAGGAGAACUGUUCUACUCUUAACCCACUGGAAUGAUGUUUGGUUGCAGCAUGGGAGGCUUGCGUUCGAUUGGCACUUCUCAGAUAGUGUCGAACAAGGCCAAUGAAGGCAGAACUCUCGUUGACAUAAUAAAUACUCUAGGCUGAAUAUAAGCUGUCAUUCCUGAGUUGCCUCACCUUUGCCGCCGACAUAUUUGCUUUAAAUUGUGGAGAGGCUGAAUAUAAGCUGUCAUCCCUGAGCUGCCUCGCCCACCUUUGUCGCCGGUGUCUUUCAAAGUCAUUACCAACACCACAAUACUCGUCUCUGUCACCCUCUACGACCGCCUCUUUGUCUCUGCCGCAAGGAACCUCACCGGUUUCCCCUCUGGCAUCACCGUGCUCCAGGCCGACCUCUUCCUCUCCACGUCACGAUUAGAGAUAUGGAAGCGGAAGAACGUAGCAGAUGGAGGUGAAAAAAGAAAAAUACAAAAAAUAAAAAAUAAAAAUCCAUGUUAGCGUGAGAUUACCGAUAAAAGUUCUAGGAGAAAAAAUAAUAAUGGUUUAUGGAUCUAAAUAUACCUUUUGAAAAAUCAGUGUGCGGCAUGAAUAAUUGGGAAUGGUUCGUGGUGUUAAAUGACGCUUUAGCCUUAUUAUUAUUAUUAUUAUUAUUAUUAUUAUUAUUAUUAUUAUUAUUA